CUUACCUUUGCGAUGAAGAUCCCUGCAUCCAUGAUGGCCUUAAUGUGCCUUAACCAGCCCGAGUUCUCCAGUCCCCACAGAAAGUCACUCAUGGACGGAGAUUUCAGUUCACACACUGCAAGUUGCUGGGUGGGAUCCGGGAGGAUGCAAAGACGGUCUCCAUCUGAACCGCAGGAGAUCACUCCUUCUUGUCUCCUAAAACCUGAAGUUGAAGAGUUCAUGGCCCUCCCUUAAUAACCAGCUUGCCAGCCACCUGAGUUCUGUUAAUGUGUUGAUUUGCCCCUUUCCCAUUUUGGAGUCAAAACACCAAGCCCAAUGAAAUGCUCUUCAAAGAACUGGUAAAAGGAUAAUAAUCUCCCUUCACUGAACAUCCUAGCAGGUGAACCCAUUCAAAGAGGAUUUUAUGAUGGACUCUUGACAUGGAAAUGUUUGGUUAAGCCCGUUUUUAUGGUUUGCCUUCUACUCAGAGCCCACCACGGUGACACAGAAUAAACUUCUGAGCUCUG